UUGAAACAGUGUUUUUGUUCAACUAUUUAGACCUUUGAUUCAUUUUGAUUGUAGUUUACUGCAUGGUGAUAGACAUGGAUCUAGUUUUAGUCUCUGGCAUAGUGGAAAGCCAGUUUUUCCAAAACCACUUAUUAAAGGAAUUAUCUUCCUUCCAGUGGACAUUUCAGUCUCUAUCUUAAAGAUAAGGUGGCUUAGUGUGUUUGGAGUUGUGUCUGCAUCUUCUAAUGUGUUCCAUUGGUCCUGAGGUCUGGGCUUUUUCUUUUCUUUUCUUUUCUUUUUUUUCUUUUCUUUUUUUUUUUUUUUUUUUGCCAUUAGCAUGCUGAUUUUAUCACCGUAGCUUUGUAGUGUAACUUCUAACCAGGGACUGUGAUGCGUCUUGCCUUGCCUUCGUUGCCCAGGAGUGCCUUUGAUAUUAUAGAUUUCUUCUAUUUCCAAAUGAAUUUCAGGAAUGUUUUCUCUAGACCUGUGAGGUAUGCUAAUAGUAUUUUGAUCAGGAUUGCAUUAAACAUGUAUAACAGUUUUGGGAAUAUGGUCAUUUUCACAAUGUUAUUUCUUCCUAUCCAAGAGCAAGGGGUAUCUUUCCAUUUUCUGGCAUCUUCAGUCUCCUUUUUAAGAGUGCUGUAAUUUAAAAUGUAUAAAUCUUUUAUUUCUUUUGUUAGAUUGAUUCCUAAGAAUUUCAUUUUUUGAAUACUAUUGUGAAGGGUAUGGUUUCCCUAAUUUCUCUCUCAGGAUGUUUGUGGUUUGUGUGCAGGAAUGCUAUUGAUUUUUGAGUGUGGAACUUGUAUCCCACCAUGCUACUCAACUUGAUUAUUUAUUCUAGAAAGAUUUUGUUGGAGUUUUUUGCAUCUUCUAUGUAGAGUAUCAUGUCAUCUGCAAAUAAUGAUAAUUUAACUUUUUCCUUUCCUAUCUUUUAUUUCUCUCUCCUGUAUAAUUGCUCUAAUGACUCUAGAACUAUAUUGAACAAGAGUGGCAAUAGUGGACAUCCUUGUGUUGUUCCUGAUUUUAGGGCAAAAUCCAUUUCCAUUUUUUACCACUUAGUCUGAUAUUGGCUAAUGGUUUGUCAUAGAUGGAUUUUAUCAGAUUGAGGUAAAAACCAUCUAUUUCAAUUUUUUGUAGGAUUUUCAUCAUGAAUGCAUGUUGGACUUUAAUUACAAGCUUUUGCUGCAUCUAUUGAGAUAAUCAUGUAAUUUUUGUUCAUGUGAUGUGUUGUGUUUAUUGAUUUCCAUCUGUUGAAUCAUCCCUGCAAACCUGGAAUGGAUCCCAAAAGGUGAUCACGUAUGAUCUUCUUGAUGAUUUGCUGCAUUCUGCUUGCCAGUAUAAUAUUGAACAUUUUUUUAGGUUGAGUGUUCUACACUGGAGCCAAGAAGUCACACUGAUAAUAAGAACCAGGGCUGCCUUGAAAAGCACCACAGCCAUCCUCAGUGAUGGAGGUCCCGAGGUCCUCCGAUGAUAUGAACAGUUUAGUACAUGACACAAAGCCAGCAUGACAAGUUUCUCCUGGAGAUUAAACAGCACAUGUCUUCCCCUCUGGAGCCAGGAAGUGAUUCUUGAUGUAAGGACCAGAGCUCCCCAAAGUGAAUAACAGCCACUCUCACCAGCAAGGUCCCCAGCUCCUCCAAUGAUGAUGGUUAAACUACACUGGAGAAGCUAGUCAUGACAAGCUCCUCCAGGAGAACUAACAGCUCAAACAGCAACACUUUGAGAAAUCCACAAUGCUUCACUCAUCUUCUCUACAUCUCUAUGCUGGCAACUUUCCUCAAAUGGAACAUCUAUGCUCAGCACCAUGCUGAUUUAAUUCAUCUGGCUUUAAGUUGGCCACCAGUUUUUAAUCCAUAACAAGAAGAUAACUAAGAUAAUCAUAAUUUCUUUUAGUUCAUUGAAAAGAAUGGUAUAGUUUGAUUAAUUUUUCAGAUCUGUAUCUUUUAAUCUGAGCAACUAUUUUGAAGAUAACAGUACAUAAUACAUUAACCAUUGUUAAUAUCGAUUAUUGUUAUGAAAUUCCCUGUUAUUGUUUUUAUUGGUUUUUUUUCUCUUUAAAAUAAAAAAAACUAGAAGAAGAUUGUAAGAAGCAUGUUGCCUUGGCCCUGUGGAGGGGUUUGUCCAGGACAGAACUAGAAGAGAAGUUCUACAUAGCACAGUGUCCAGCAGAAAUGCCCUUUGGCUUGGAUCUGCAGAUAGCACAGGUAAUCAUUUCACAAUCCUGAUGGUAGGAUCUGUGCUAAAACAAAUCUAACAUAGUUGAGGACAAACAGAGGCAAUCCAAGAGAUGGACAGACCUGGGUUAUGGUUAUGUCAUGUGGGUCUCCACAUAAACUAUACCGAAAAUCAACCCUAUCCUUGGACUUUCUAGUUAUACAAGCUAAUUCAUUUGUUGCUCCGGCCAAUUCAGAGUGGAAUUUCUGCCAUUUUCAGGCUGAAAGGAAUAUGUCUGAUAGACUUCUGGAUAGUUUCAUGUGAAUGGCUUGAGUAGGGGCUGCACCUCCUCCUAACACUGUGGUGAGUCUUUGAAAGCAUUGAUUUAUUAUCAGUUUUUUUUUAAGCAAGGGCAGUUAAAACAUAUUAACAGGAAACACAUCUAUAAAACGUUCUGUUUUCAACAGAUGGCAUUCAUAAUUUUAAGAUAGGCAUGUGUAUAUCAUCAGUUUUGUUUAUUUCCCAACCUCAAUGUCCUGUAUGAUUGUAAUGACAGUAAACAAAGGUUAACCUCAUACUAUGGCUAUCUACCAGCUACCCUAAUUCUCACCAUUAACUUCUUGUGGUCAUAUAGAACCUAUGUGAUCAGAAAGCAUAAAUUACUAUAGUGCUUGAUUGAUUGUGUCAAAUUGAGACAUUUAGAACUUAACUAAAUAAGCUUAGCAAUUUUACACCCUAGGAUGUAGAGGACCCACCCUAGGGUAGCUCAUCUCUGGGACAGUAUAAAAGGGAAGGAGGAAUGGAUGAGGUGCCAUUCUUUGGAGGAGCUCCAGUCUUCACCUUCAGCUAGAAUAUCAUCUUCUGGCUUCCAGUGAACACUCUUAGGCUUCUUCCUUGAAUCUUUCAGCCUUCCAGUGUAGACUUUUCAGCCUUCUGGUGUAGAACCUUUAGCCUUCUGUCACAGACCUAUUGGGCUGCUGGUGUAGACUUGCACAAGACACAGGGAUGAACUCCAUCCGGACUGUGGAUUGAAUCCUUCGGCCUCCAGCAUGCAGACACCCUCUGCAGAUUCCUCAUCCAACUCUUUGGCUGACCAGGCAAAACUGGCCAGGAGGAAAAGCAAGCAGGCUGUUUCAGUUUGGAUACAGAAGUCCCUUCGAAGCCUCCAGUCUGCAGAGGCAGAGCUUUGAAAAGGCGAUUGGUCAAUAGAUGAUUCCAGACAGCAUUGGGAAAGACACAGAAAAGGCUUGCCAGUCUAUUUAUCCUCUUCGUGAUGUCUUUGUCAGAAAAGUAAAAAUGCUGAAGAAGCCCAAGUGUGAAUUGGGAAAGCUCACGGAGCUUCAUGGUGAAGGCAGCAGCUCUGGAAAAGCUACUGGGAACAAGGCUGGAGAUAAAGUUCAAGGAGCUGAUGGAUAUGAACCACCAGGCCAAGAGUCUGCUUAAAAUCCAGGUUUUUAAUAGUGAUAAAUAAAAUCCUAUGACAAAAGAAAAAAGGAAAGGGGAUUGGAUCGUGAGAGUGCGGCCCUCAUCAGUGGAUUCAUCCACGGAACACGUCAGGGCUCAUCGACGGCUAGGAGGUGGGGAGCAGUGGGCAGAAGACAGUCUUUGGGAUGUGACCAGAAAGGGGUCCUUUCCCUCCUGGCUGCGCUGAUGUGAGCCAUGUCCUCAGUAGGCCCCUCCUACCAGGCCCCUACUACCAGGCCUUUUCUGCCUUGGGGCAAGCUGACCCUGGACUGAAACCUCUAAAAACCGUGAGUCAAAAUAGGCCUCUCCUCUUUUAAGUUGUGGUGUUGAGUGUCUCAGAGGCAAGAAAGUGCCAGAUAGAGGCCAGUUUUCCAUUUUAAAGAAUGUGACCUCAGGGUGUGAAUUAAGCUCAGCAGUAGAGCGCUUGCUUGCCAACCACAUGAGAGGCCCUUGCUUCAAUACUGAAACAACGAAAUUAAAACCCCUGUGGGUAUCUUCAAUUUUCUUUACUCUGUGGUGGUCAGUGCUCCUUGUGUAAGGAGGAUUUUAGAUCACUAAUUUGUUAGUUUCUCAUUUAAUGAAAUGUAAAAAUUUGAAUAUUAACAAGGGGAUACUUUUCUUUGAAGCACUUUCACAAUUUUUAAUUAUGUAUUAAUGUGUUUGUUCUUUGUCUCUUCUUCUAUUACUUUGAAAGCUCUCUGAGGUCAAGCACAUUUACUUUAAGGACUUGCCAAGUGUGGUGGCUAUCGAUUGACUUUUGAUAUGUUUUUGUCCAUUCAAGUAAUUAAUUGUAAAGUCUUUAAAAAGUGACCUUUCUACACACUGUUUAAUGUCCUCAUGUGGUCACCAGCAGUGUCUUCCUGCUAUCUACUCAUCUACCUAUGCGUACACAGUCACCCACACCUCCACCACCCACAUUUAUCCCUCUUCUAUAUCCACCUAUUCAUUCAUCUAUCCACGCUCCAGCCAGCCAUGCAGCCAUAAACCCAUCCGUCCAUCAGCCCAUCCUUCCUUACAUUUCCCUAGACACCUAACUGGCAAAGGCAAUCUUAAGGAAAGAUUUCUGUUUGUUAAUUGAAAAAUAAAUGUUCCCAGUGAAAGAAUUUCCAGUUUAGAGAUCUUCAUUUCAGAACACAUAGUCCGUAGAGGUAGCCACAGUUUUAGAGCCUGCUAGCAUCCUUCAAACUCGUGUCCACGGCCAAGUCACUAGUGAAAGUAUCCACAGGACUUACUACUUUGUGUCCAUCCCCACCUAAGACCCUGGUUGCUGGUUAAAAACAUUUUUUUUUUUGACAGAGGGAAUGACAAAGCCCUUUCUCUUUCAUAGAAUUUAUUUUUAUCUUGUCAUAUGCCAGAGUUUUUAAACAAAAUUCAUUGUUAUUCUUCUAUCUCUUUAAACAAAACAUGAUUCCUUGGCUUCUUUCCUCUGUGCAUGAUCACACAUUUAACUGCACAGUUGAACCAACACCUGUAUGCUGAGGCCUUCUAAACCUGUAUGUUGAUCCCUGACUACUUCACACACCUUGAGACUUUCGUAUCCACCAUUUCUCAUCAACAGUGGGAAGACAUGGAGAGGAAAAGGAAAGAAAAAGUGAAGGAAGGGGCAAGAAAGCAGAGAGGAAAGACUGGUUGUUUUGUAGAAUUUAUUUAAUUCCGUCUCCCUUGAAAACUAUGCGAAUAUAGUAGAAAAUUUUCAUCUUCUGUUCACCCUAGGGAUCUUGUACUCCUAUCAUCCUGUUAGACCGGUGUCGCGAGGAAGACUCCAAGGGCCUCGCUCUCAUGUAAGAACAAUGGGGUUUUUAUUAUUCCGUGUACACGGGGUCCUCCAAACAGGUAGAAACGGAGAACCCCUUACUCGAGCAGGGCUGUGCCUUUUAAGGCCUAAAACCGCAAAGCAAGCAAGCAUUGUUACAGAAGCCAAUCAUAGCGGUUAGAGCAGAGCUGAUGGUGAGCUGUCCUUAAGGGAUUGGGUUUUUUAGUGGGGCAAGGGAGUGUCUCCCUAGAAGGGGUGGCAUUUCUUAGGAAUGGGCAUUUGUCUCAUGACUGAGAGAUCUGUCUUAGGUUAAGACUGUUUGUCUUAACUGUUUAAGAACACUGGUUCCUGUGGGGGUGGAGCUGCACAUACUUUAGCACCACAACCGUUCUAUUUGUAGAGGGCAACAAUGGUUAGCAUAUCGAUUAGGUAAGAUUUUACAAUUCUUUACAGAGAGCAUUGAUCAACAUAUCAAUCUUUUACCCAGAGUAAAAGGAAGACACACAUUUACAGUUACAGGUAUUACUAUGAUAUAAACGAAGCUAUUUUUGUGAAGAAUGUACAAUCUAAUACAAUCUGAUGUAAUUAACACAAUUUGUGAUGGGGCUUCUGGAUAGGGAAGACCCAGGAUGUCAGGAGCUAUUACCUCAGGCCUUUGUUUUAUGGCCUUUAGGAAGUUAAAACUUAACCUAGUUGGAUUUGAAGGGAGAAGGGGGGGGGGCAGCAGAUGGAACGAGCUUUCUUGGUCUCUUCAAUCCAGAAUUACUGGAAAGGGGCUGGGGAUUUAGCUCAGCGGCAUAAGCACCUGCCUUGCAAGCAGGCGGUCGUGAGUUCGAUCCCUGGUACCAAUAAAAAGGAAAAAGACCAAAGGAAAAAAAAAAAAAAAAAAAACAGAAUUACUGGAAGAAGGCCACUUAGGUAGGCUGACAUUGACUCACUUGCGGCACACACAGAAGAUGGAGAAGAUAACCUCACUCCCUUGUUCCUCCAAGUGCACAAGGCAGAAAGAAAAUACCAGUGGGUCAUAUCCUGGAGGUUGGGACUGCUGAGGAAUGGGCUAGUGGCCUUCCAGGAACCACUGGGAAGGGAGGACUUAGAACCCAGGGUGGGGUGUUAGAGAAAGUGAGCUGAGAUUGGAGAGAUGGGUGUGGAAAAGGAGUUGGGAGUGGACAGUGGCAGGCUCUUGAUAGUGGGUAAAAUAGACGUGAGCAGAGGGAAAGACACCCAACCCCUCAAAAGCACAAGUCUUCAAGAUAAGCCAGCAAGACCCCUGCCACCUCCCAUCAGUGAGAACCCGCAAGGGGAGCGGGGUGGAAGCUGGAAGCCGGGAUUCCAUCUCCAGGGCCACUGUGCCCUGAAAACCACUGCCUCUCCCAGAGAUCCUGAAGAGGGAGGAGGGGACGAACUCUUGAGAAGUAAAGACAGGAUUCCAAUUUUGAAAUGACCAAUUAAUAAACCAAUUCUGACUGGAAUUGUCUAAAAGGGACUCGUUCUACUGAAAGUAACUAAGCCACCUCAAGCUGGCAUGAUCUGACCUCCAGCUGAGCACAGUUUAUAGUGAUAAAAUAGUAUCCCUGCUUCUUGGAGAUGUGGGUCUGAAAUUGCUAACGUCCACACAAAAGUUAUCCCUUGAAACAUACGUUACCUUGGUGCAAAUUUUAUGUUGCAUGGACUCUCUUUUGGAUAAAAUGAAAUGCAUAUAAUGUUGGGAAAAUAUUUAAUACUGUUUUUUAACCAGUAUCUUUAAAAAACUUAACCAAAAAUCACAUUUUCCCCAAAUUUUUGCUCAGCAAAAUUUUUAAUAACCAUAUGAUAAUUGAUGAUGUGUUAAUUAAUUCUUUGUUUUGUUUGAACAGUAUUUAGUUUGGUUCCUAUUUUUGCUAUUCUUAAUUGCAUCAUGAUCUAUGUACCUAUCUAUCUAUCUAUCUAUCUAUCUAUCUGUAUUUCCUUUUCAGGCUCCCAAAGAUAAUUUCUUUAGAGUAAAUGGAGCUUGUGGCUGAAAUAAUAUGUAUAUUUUAAUGACUUUUAGCACAUCUGAUUAAAUUGGAUUUGAGAAAUGUUAUGCUGCUUAAACUCCAAUUGAUAGUGCAUGUGAAUGACCCUUUUCUUACAUCCUCAGCACAGGGGCUCUGGAAAUGUUUAAAUUCUCUCCAAAAAUAUCAGUAUUAUGAAAGCAGUAAGUGUUUGUAUGCAUAGCCAAAGUAGUUAUGCUUCACAAAGAUGAUUAGUGGAUAGUGGUCUAAAAGUCUCUUUGUAUUCCUGCCAAGGUUAAAUACAGGUCAGAACAGGCAGACCAGAGACAGAGCGCUGAGGAAUGGUUGCCAGAGCCAGCAUGAGGAGGCAGUGAGAAGCCACCCACUGGCUGCUCCCGUGCUGGGCUUCUUGUUGGCGUGAUGGAAAUGUUCUUGAAUUAGACAGUGGUCGCAAUCACCCAACUUCGUGAAAGUAGUAAAAACCACUACAUCAUACACUCUAAACGGGUGCAUUUGAUGGCAUGUGAGUUACAUAUUGACAAACCUCAUAUUUAACAAAGUUAAUGCAGUUGUUUUCAAAAGCAUGGAGUAUAUUCCAGUUUGAAUAAAAAGCACAAGAUACACUAUAAAUCAUUUUUAUAAGGUAAAGGGAAGAACAGAGAACUCUAGACUUACUGAUUCAAUACUAUUUUAAAGCUAAUAGGGUCCCUGUGUGGUGUGGUUGAAACACUUUUUGGAGUUCCAUGAUGGUGAUUAUUUUGUAUAGCUGUGUGGGUACUGCAGCGCAGUAAAAUGUACUACUCAAAUAGUGACUUUUACUUUUAUGUGAAUUGUAUUUUAAUGUUCAAAGAGUGAGAACAAAUUUAGACUCAGUUCCUGUAUACAUCCACACAGAAACCUGUCUAUCCAAAUGGUUAUGGUUAUGGCACUUCACUCAUAGUACCUCCAAAAUGAAAACAACCUGAAUGUUUCUGAGCUGGUGAAAGCGUUAGGGUUGCAUAUUUUAGUGGUGGACUAUCACUCAGCAGUUAGAAGAAAUGAAAUGCUGACACAUGGUGCAUUGAGGAUGGACCUUGACAGUAUUAUGUUGAGUGAAGAAAACAGUCACAGAGACCGCAUGCCAUGUAAUUCCAUUUACAGGAAAUAUUUAGAACAGGCAAAGUUAGAGAGAUUGACAGUCAAGCAAUGGCUGCCCCUUGGGGAGAGGAAAAUGCUGAGUGAUGAUUAGGUGGGCCAGGUUACAGGGGUGACAAAGAGGCUCUCAAAUUAGAUGGUGGCGGUGAUUCACCUUUGUGAAUACACAAAACUCAUUGAUUUGUACAUUCUAAAAGGAUGAGCUAUACACUAAGCCAAGCUGUUUCUCAAGAAAGCUAUUGAAAAAAGAAAUACUGACCAAUAGUCACCAAAUAUUGGGACAAAGUCUGAUACGAGAUGAAAUGUAUAGUAGGAGAAAGCCUCUGUUAACACGACAUGAAGAGAAUUCCUCUUUCUCUUUCCCAACCUCCUCCAGGAGUUGUAGCCAGCGUUUAGCCGAGUCCUGAAUUGUAACGCCUCCUUUGCCCAUUUCUCAGGCUCGAGUGCGCAUGUUACUUUAGAUUAUCUGCUCCUUCCUCUCCUCCUCAGGAACUCCUUGCUCUACCCUUGUGCCUACUGCAAAAUGUUCUGCCUCCUUUCAGAGCCCAUGUCGUCCACUUGUAUUUUAUGCAGUGAUAAAUUGCAAGUAAGACUUUAGUGCCAUCUUCAGUGUUUGCUUUAACCCUACACUCUAUUUAAUAUAUAUAAAUGUUAAGGCAUUCAUGUUGGACAGUCAUUGUAAUUGUUGAGCCUGCCAGAUGAGCAUUUACCAUUUAGGCUCUGGUUCUUGUUAUUAUUCAGUUUCCACUGCAUGAAAGUUGUCUCCCUAGUUACAGUGUUGUUUGGGCCAUUGUUUUGCCUCUGGAGCCUUUGGAGUGAAAUCUUGUCAAAUGUUUUACAUUAUAGUACUUCCUAAUUCAUUCAACAAACAUUUAUGAGCACCUACUAUUGGCCAGACUCGUUUUGUUUAUAACUAACGUUAAAGCAUUCCAGAUGACUCAUUCAGUGUGAAUUUUCUCUUGUAGAUAUGGUAUUAACACUUCUGAAAAGUGAAAGGUGUUAAUUUAGGUAUAUUUCUUCUAGCAGAUAAACCAGUCUACCUGCUAUUGAAUGGCCUGCCAAAAUUAUUUAAGAAGAGCUUUGCUUGUAGUUUUUCUGUUGUAUUCAUAGAGCGCUUUUAUUUUUCAGUUUUAAAAAAAUUCUUACAAGAACCUUGGGAGUUGGGGGAGGCAUUUAUUUCCCAAUGGUUCUUCUGUUGAGGAAGAUACAGAAGUUAGAGCUUAUAAGAUGUUUCUUCAGUGGUGCCCAGGAAUCCAGGAAAUGCCAUAUUCCUCUAGAAUUCUCCAGAAACAAACAAAACUGAUGGCCAAGUCUCCUAAGAAACUUGCAUCCGAUUCGAAAUUGCCUUUCAUGAAAGAACCCCAUCUAGAUAUUUGCUCAAUGAGACUUGAGUUUCUUCUAAUCUCCGUAUGUCAGUGUGUACACUGACUGAGGUGAAAAUGAAACUGAAUCUUUUGUCAUUGUUUGGAAUGAAAGUUGGUCAAUUCAUCUGUAAGGAAUAAAAAAGUGAAAGGAACCUCUGCUGUUUGGUGAGACAAAUUUGGAAAUAACUUUUUUGUUGGUGAGACUUUCACAAGAGUUUCUUUUGGCUAAAAAUUAUACAUGAAAAAUACACCCAUUUAAAAUGAUAAUUUCUGUAAAAUCAUAUAUAAUAAAAACCAAUGAAUCAGA